ensembl:lncRNA
GAGAAGAUAGUGUAAGACAUCUCUGGCAGCUAUUACUCAGCUUCAGCAACAAUAAGUUCCAUGAGGUGAAUGCAUGUAUGAGCAGUCAGAGUCUUGAAAGAAAGAGAUGAUAUUUUGAAGGUACGGGCUGUGUCUGGGGACUUAAUAAGAGAUAGUAAAGGGCCCUGAGCUCCAAACAAUGAAGACUGCCACCAACCCUGAGCUCAAAGGCAUGAGAGGAGGCAGCCGUUAUUGCAACCCUGAGAGGCUGUCUGUCUGGACGGAUGACCUUCAGUAAAAAGACCUCUUCAACUCUGACCACCUGGCAAGGAGAGAUUCUAAGACGUGGAUGAAACACAGUCAGAACCCGAGAAUGCCAUGGUGGAAUGCUGUGAGGAAGCCCAGAAUACAUAGAGAAGAACCAAGGCUUACAACUGACACCAAGUUGCUGGUCUGAAAGUUAUCUCUCAUGUGAGGACACAGCAAGAAGAUCCUCCCAGAUGCCAGAGCCUUGAUCUCAGACUUUCUAGCCUCCAGAACUGUAUGAAAUAAAUUUCUGUCACCAAGUCCCAGAUAUUCUGCUAUAACAGCACAAACUGGAAGAAGAUAGCAUAUAAAACACUUAAUAUAGUGCCUUGUACAUAAGCUGCAUAUGAAUAUUUGUUGUUAGUAUGUUUAUUGAACACGAGAAGACUAUAUUUAUUAUGUGACCCUGAUAUUGCAAACAGUGUCAUGUGUCCAUUUUAACAACCACAUUUAAAUAUUUUGGGUGGAAAACAUUUGAUGUAUUUGACUUGUGUGAGCAGAAUAUAAAGUUGAAUCUGUGAUAAUUCUAGUAAAUCUUACAGUACCUAAUUUUUAAUGCUCAUGUGCUGUAGGAGGACCUCUGGAAUAUUGUGAACCUGUAAAAAGUGGGAUUAUGAAAAUAAACUCCAUAGAUAAUAGAAGAAAGUAAAAACAGAAAAUAUGGUAAAUUCUUGAUCAUCUGUGGUGAAUGGUGGGCAGGGAAUGUGUUGCUAAGUGAAAAACAGGUAGACCUCAGCUACGAGGUCUAUCAAACCUUUUCCCAGAGCUGAUGUGGAGCAAAAUUGGCUGGUUGAAAUUCCAUUUCCUUUUAUUGCUCCCAUAGAGAUGCUAAUGAAUAACAAACAAGGAGAGCAGAGGACCCAGGUAAUUAGUCAUUGUGGAUGUUCAGAGCUGGAAGGGACCUUUGAGGCUCCUCUGGUCCUGUUUUCUCUUUGCAGAGUUUGGGAAACUCAAGACUUGGAGAUGCUGGGUCCUAAUGGCUCAUGGUUGGCGCUGGCUGAGUAAUACAUUGCCCUGAAACCCAUAAGCCAGGAGGCGAAAGAAGUUUCAAGGAAGUUAAGCCAGAAGUGUUGGAAAGCAUGCAGUUAUCGGCAUACAUUGAUGGGGAUUUUCAUUAACAAUUUUUAUUUCUGUGAAUUGCAGAGCCAUCACCCCCUUUCUUAUGGAGUUCCGCUGACAGCUGCUACUUCACACCUUCCUUCCAGCUGGGAGGGUGGGCUGAUGGCUGCAUGCAUAUGCGCCUAACACAGAGUAGCUCCUUAGCCAGCAACCUGGGCAUCAGCUUCCUCCUGGAGCCCACAUGUGUCACCUUCAGGUCUCCUGGGACUCCCGUCAUUUCUGUGAAUUCAUCAGGAGGCUCUGGUAGAAGGCAGGAGGCCAAGCAGGCUAACCGGUGACUGGGAACAAAGGCCGGUUCAGGAGGAGUCACUCACCAGCGUGCUAAAGAACGCUUCCUUUCUCCUCCAUAACGUGUUUAAACCCUAAAGAUUCAGUGAAUAGCUUUCGGUGCUCAGAAAAUAAAUGUGAAGGGAUAACAGAAAGGCAAGAUUUUUUUUAAAAUUGAUUUUAACAGACAUUUAUAAAAUAAUUGUAUGUAAAGGCUUGCCCAUGUUAUAGGGUAAACUCGUAAUUUCAGUAGAAAUAAUAAUUCUCAAGUAUAGUACUAUAACUAGUAACCCUCAAAUUCCUCAGCUCCCAUGGGAAGAUAUUACAAUCUGACUAAUCUCAUCACUAAACAUUAGAUGCUAGUCUGGACAAAAUUAGACUCAAUUAUUGUUAUGGUGUGACAGCUAUAGUCUAACACAUAUUGAAAAUAUUCUGUGUGGCAUAUUAACUGGUAUAAUCCAAUGAGCUCAUGAAGAAUUUUUAUAGUUCAUUUCUAGCAAACUGAAACAUUGCUUUUACUUUUCAAUCAUUGAAACAUAAACAUCAAAGUGCUUCUUAAAACAGUUUAUCAUUUUCUUACCACCUUUUGUCAUCUAGCUCCUUGGGAAACAAAUAAGAAGACUGGGAAAUAAUCUGUACUUAACUGCCCCUGAGGUGAUAGUGAAGCUUCCCCCGUCUCCAGGUACCACUGACCCUUUUAAAAUAAUAGCCCAGUCUCCACCAG